UAGCCUAUGUUGUGUUACGGUUCCCCGGACACCACAAUAUCCGGGGCUAAGAGGGAAGCCGGUGCGAUGCCGGCGCUGCCCCCGCAACUGUCAGCGGCGAGCCUUCAUCCAUUCAUGCCACUGGGGAAAUUCCCGGGAAGGCGGACGAAGGCGACGACCCGUGAGCCAGGAGACCUGCCGUGACCCUUGAAACGUC
rnacentral:ncRNA from 2 species